UCAGCUUUUACUUUAAAAACCCUGUUAUUGAAAAUAAAAGUAUGUGAAAUGAAAACUCAACAAUUGCCAUGGUUAUAAGGGAGUAAAGUCUGGAAUGACUUUAUAAAAGAUGAACUGUGAGUCAGAAAAGUAUCUUUUCUCACAUAAAUAAGGAGAUCUGCAGGAGACAACUAGAUUUGGUAUAUGCUUGCAAAUAAGCAUGGGCUAGUGGAGAAGUAGCCAAUGUGAUUGGGGUACAGUGAUCUAUAUUAAAUCCAUUGUAUUAUAUAGGGAAGCAACAGCUAUAUAUGUUAUAAUUUUUGCUCUUUUACCAUAAGAAAAGGCUUCCCACACUGUAUUUUUCGUUCUGUAAGAAAGAGCCUAAGGUAAGGGGAAAAAAAUGGCAAAAUAUGUGAUUUCGGAUUAAUCAUGAAAGAGGUUAGAAUGCCUUUCUUUACCACCAGAACACUAAAUAAUUUCCAGGGUUAAAAACUGGAGGGUGUGGGGUGGCCGGAUGGACAAUCCAAUCUAGAAAAGGAAAAAUGUAAAUCCCUGACAACAGGUCCAACAGAAUGGUAUAGGGCAGGGAUUGACAAACAUUUUCUAUAAAAAGCCAGAUGUUAAAUAUUUUAAGUUUUGUGGGCCACACGGUCUCUGUCCCAACUACUUAGUUGUGUGAUUGUCGAGUGAAAGCAGCCAGGUGAUAUGUAAUGGAUGAGCAUGGCUGUGUUGCAAUAAAACGUUAUUUUUGAAUACUGAAAUUUAAAUUGUAUAUGAUUUUACCAUGGCACAAAAUAUUAAUCAUCUUCUGGGUCUUUCCAACUAUUUAAAAAUAUUAAAACAGGCAGUGGGCCCAAUUUAACCCAUGGGCCAUAGUUUGCUGACACCUGAUGUAGAGUACUCAACAUGGGAAGUUUUUAGGUAAUUAAUGAAAGAUCGAAGGAGAAAUUAGCAAUGAAAGAAAAUGCAGUUUCAUUACUUUGCAGGAGGGUUAUUUUACAAAGAAUAGUUUGAACUAAUAAGAAAGGGAGUAUAUAAAGCAAAUGUAACUGAACAACAUUUGCAGGUAUUUUCUUAUAUGUUCUGUUUCCCCAUCCCAUCCCCCCCACCCUGUCCUGGCUAGUUGCAGCUGUGUGUUGCCUCCACAAAGGAUUGUCACAGCCGCUAAUACCAGGAACAAAGGAUACAACUUUCAGACAUAAGAGAAAAGAGGAAAAUCAGUCAGAAUAGUUCUCACCGCUCAUAAUUUGCCCGUGUGGAAAGAGGAAGAACUGAUGGGAAAAUCAAAGAAUUUUAUGCUUUUCCCUGCAUCUCUGAAAGGGAAGAGGACGAAGGUGCAAUCUGUGGGGAUCGAUGGAUCGAGAGCCUAGAAGGUGCCAUGGCUGCAGCAGGGAUAGGUGGUUUACAGUAACACUCUGCAGACUCACCCGCCACAAGCCCAGGAAGUCACAUGGCGCCCUGGGAGGAGAGAGACUCUAACCAUCUGACAUAAUGGAUCAAGAGUGAGAUUAGGUCUCUCCAAGCCCUAUCAAAUGUAGUCUUGAAAUCCAAUCAGAAAAACAAGAGUUACAUUCAUCUUCCACAGGAGAUGGUCUGCAUGGAAAGAAACUGGAAGCAGAUUGAUCUGCUAGAAGUUACCAGUGGAUUACACUAAGGUGAUGAGGACAUGAAUUAAGGUGUCAGUGGCGAUGGGGCUGAUGAAGAGAGUUUGGCAUUUAGAAGUGUCCCUGAUGGGAUGAAAAAAGAUCUAGCCAUUUUGGCUCCUGCGAUGGAAGUGCUGAAUUAUUUUCCCCAAAAGUCAUGGAAAAGGCUCAGCUAGAAAUAGAGCUGCUAUUGGAAAGGAGGAAUAGAAGCCAGGAGACAAAAGAACAAUAAAUGUCAACUGCAAAUCUCAUCAGGUCAAAGUUGACUACCACAGACCCAGACCUUCUGCAAAAAGCUUUCUGCAAGGCUGAAUGAGCACCAUGGGCAAACAGAAGCAGAAAGUACAACUUGUAUCUGGGAAAUGGCAUAUAUCCAGUCUGGUGGGGGUGCAGGGGACAUGAGAUUGUUCAGAUA